rnacentral:rRNA from 1 species
UACGGAGGGUGCAAGCGUUGUUCGGAAUCAUUGGGCGUAAAGCGCGUGUAGGCGGCUUGGCAAGUCGGUUGUGAAAGCCCGGGGCCCAACCCCGGAAUUGCAUCUGAAACUGCCUCGCUAGAGUCCCGGAGAGGAAGGCAGAAUUCCCGGUGUAGGGGUGAAAUCCGUAGAUAUCGGGAGGAAUACCAGCGGCGAAGGCGGCCUUCUGGACGGUGACUGACACUGAGACGCGAAAGCGUGGGGAGCAAACAGG